GACGGAGGAGGCAAGCGUUAUCCGGAAUUAUUGGGCGUAAAGGGUACGUAGGCGGCUGGUCAAGUCUGGGGUCAAAGGCCACAGCUCAACUGUGGAAAGGCCCUGGAAACUGACCGGCUAGAGUGAGGUAGGGGUUGCGGGAAUUCCAGGUGUAGCGGUGAAAUGCGUAGAGAUCGGGAAGAACACCUGAGGCGGAAGCGCGCAACUGGGCCUCAACUGACGCUGAGGUAAGAAAGCUAGGGGAGCGAAUGGG
rnacentral:rRNA from 1 species